rnacentral:rRNA from 1 species
UACUCGAGCGGCGAACGGGUGAGUAACACGUGAGCAACCUGCCCCAAGCUUUGGGAUAACCCUCGGAAACGGGGGCUAAUACCGAAUAUUACUUCUGGCCGCAUGGCUGGUGGUGGAAAGUUUUUCGGCUUGGGAUGGGCUCGCGGCCUAUCAGCUUGUUGGUGGGGUGAUGGCCUACCAAGGCGACGACGGGUAGCCGGCCUGAGAGGGCGACCGGCCACACUGGGACUGAGACACGGCCCAGACUCCUACGGGAGGCAGCAGUGGGGAAUAUUGCACAAUGGGCGGAAGCCUGAUGCAGCGACGCCGCGUGAGGGAUGACGGCCUUCGGGUUGUAAACCUCUUUCAGCAGGGACGAAGCGAGAGUGACGGUACCUGCAGAAGAAGCACCGGCCAACUACGUGCCAGCAGCCGCGGUAAGACGUAGGGUGCGAGCGUUGUCCGGAUUUAUUGGGCGUAAAGAGCUCGUAGGCGGCUUGUCGCGUCGACCGUGAAAACUUGGGGCUCAACUCCAAGCCUGCGGUCGAUACGGGCAGGCUAGAGUUCGGUAGGGGAGACUGGAAUUCCUGGUGUAGCGGUGAAAUGCGCAGAUAUCAGGAGGAACACCGGUGGCGAAGGCGGGUCUCUGGGCCGAUACUGACGCUGAGGAGCGAAAGCGUGGGGAGCGAACAGGAUUAGAUACCCUGGUAGUCCACGCUGUAAACGUUGGGCGCUAGGUGUGGGGGGCCUCUCCGGUUCCCUGUGCCGCAGC